rnacentral:rRNA from 1 species
CAUUCAGUUGGGCACUCUAGCGAGACUGCCGGUAAUAAACCGGAGGAAGGUGGGAUGACGUCAAAUCAUCAUGCCCCUUAUGACCUGGGCGUACACACGUGCUACAAUGGUUGGUACAACGAGUUGCGAGUCGGUGACGGCGAGCUAAUCUCUUAAAAGCCAAUCUCAGCUCGGAUUGUAGGCUGCAACUCGCCUACAUGAAGUCGGAAUCGCUAGUAAUCGCGGAUCAGCACGCCCGCGGUUCGAAUACGUUCCGGCCUU